GGGGUCUUAUUGUAAGCCACACUGGCCAUGGCAGUGACUUUGGGUGCAGCAGCAGAGGCAACGGGCACAGGCUUAACUACUUCUUUAGGUUCUUCCUUUGGUACAUGAAUAAUAUCAGGUUUUGUUGCAGAAGCCACUCUUUGCAAAGUCAUGUUCAGAUUGCCUGUACAUGCCUUGAUCUUGUUUUGUGCUUCUAGAUGAGUCAUCCCGUCUGUACUUAUCCCAUCAAUGGUGAGAACCACGUCACCAAUCCCCACGUUUGCUCGGGCUGCUUUUCC
rnacentral:lncRNA from 1 species